CUAUAAUACAAAUAACCAGGCUUAAAUUGAGAGAAGAGUGCUGUUAUUUGAUUUAUUGUAAUCUGAAUAGUUUUAGAAGUGUAGUCAUCUGUGAAAUUAGUAUGCUUAUUUCUUUGUGGAAACUUUCAUAAUUAAUGUCAAUUAACAAAUCCAUGUAAAAUUUGAGAAAAUACUUGUCAUUGCAAAAGUUGAUUGGCACAUUUUAUGAAAAGGGAAGUUCUUUGAAUAGGUAGUCAUUUAGAUUUUACAUUAGGUAUUCAAAUUCACAGGAAAUGGUAUUUAACAAAGAAUUAAUUUAUUGGCCAAUGAAACUGACACCAGAGCAGAAUGUUUGAGGGCCAAUGCGUUAGACAUCUAUGACUUCACUGAUUACUGAACAAAGACCUACUUUAUAGCUUUAGUCAUUAUGGAAAACUUCUGGUUCUCCCUUAUGUCCUCUAACUGCUCAGGGUCAACUGGCAACAGAACUGGGCUCAAACAGCCUCUGAGAUAGGGAACAAUGUUAGGUCAUUUAGAGUUUCCUGAUGAAAGAUUGAAAAGUAGGCAACUGUGUUUUCUCAGCUGCUGUGCAGCUAACCUGCCCCUCUUUUAGUUGCCAACAGCAACUUCCCAGAUGGCCCUUUAACAAAUCUGGUAGUAAUUUCCUUCAAGCUAAGUUUAGUACAAGUUUAAGUCAAUGGCCAUUAACAUGAAUAUAUUCAAAAUUGAGGGAAACCUUAACUAGCAGAGCAAUGCUAGUGAUUUUAAAGACAACUUCACCCCUUAUUUUAAGGAAAUCAUUGACUACACUUGAGAAAUCUUUGAGUUAGAAGACAUUGACAGGAAAAUACGUGUUAUAGUUUUAUUAAAUGACUGAAAGCAUCCACAAGGGUCAAGGUUUCAUCAGUUCACCUGCAGGGGAAAAAAAAAAAAGUCAGUCCAGAAGCCUGUUAAGUAGUUUAGACUUCAGUUUACUUUAUAACCUCAUUAGACCUUUCUUCUCUCACUGGUCUUGCUCGGUGCUUUGGCAGCCUCCCAGGGAAAGGCUGGUGGGUCAUAGUAGUCUAGGGAGUACUUUGUGUGGGAAAGGUCUUCUCUUGCUCGCUGGUAAUCCUUCCCGCUCUGCGCCAUCUCCUGGUUAUCCGUUUCCCAGACGCUGAAGUCUGGAAAACCACGGGAUGGCAUCCAGUUGCUUGGGUUGUAGAAUGAGGAGUCUGCUCCUCCAGGAACACCUGCAACAGCCGGGUUUCCGUAAGGCACAGGUCUGUAACCUAAGCCGCCGGCUGCAGGAGCAGCGGCAUAAGGAAGAGAUCCACUAAGCCCACUGGUGGCAGCUGCAUUAGGAUUUGUCUGACCUGAAACCAGAGACAGAAAAAAAAUUAUUUGUCAAAGACAGCUUUAAGAGUCAAGUCAAAGUCAACUUGAACAAGUAAAAUAAAGUGGGGAGUAGCAGAUUGUCAUGUUGUCUGUAGACCAAUACACCUUUAUGUUGGUGGCUUACUGAUCUAGAACAGAGAACCACUUCAGUGAGGGGCUGUGGGAUACCUUACGGCCAGCUACGAAUUUCUAGGGCUGCCCUAGAAUCGUCAACUUUUAAUUGCCAAGAAAAGUCUUGGUUGAUACUCUGAAUUAGUUGGAUAGUCACAGAACAGAAACUGUACUAGCUGCUAUUAGCUACGGUGGCUGGUAAGUGCAAAACAAAUUUACAAACUCCGAAACAAAUUUACAAACUCCGAAACAAGUUUACAAAGUCAAAAUCGUACGGAAGGGGAAUGUACUAAAUGCCGGAUCUGACCCGGAAGUGAUUGAGUGAGCGGUUUGUUGUGGAAAGAGUUGUGAGGUUUAUAUGGAGUUUCAAGAUGUUUUGCCCGUUUUGUGGAAACCAUUUGGGGCAGGUAUUAAGGUUUUGUGAUUCGUGUGGACGGUCUCUGGAGUUUUUAAAGGCUGCGGAGCAGACGGAUGGACCAGACAUGCUGCAACAUCUUGAAACUCCAUAUAAACCGCACAACUCUUUCCACAACAAACCGCUCACUCAAUCACUUCCGGGUCAGAUCCGGCGUUUAGUACAUUCCCCUUCCGUACGAUUUUGACUUUGUAAAUUUGUUUCAGAGUUUGUUAAUUUGUUUCAGAGUUUGUAAAUUUGUUUCAGAGUUUGUUAAUUUGUUUCAGAGUUUGUUAAUUUGUUUCAGAGUUUGUUAAUUUGUUUCAGAGUUUGUAAAUUUGUUUCAGAGUUUGUAAANNNNNNNNNNNNNNNNNNNNCCUUUAUGUUGGUGGCUUACUGAUCUAGAACAGAGAACCACUUCAGUGAGGGGCUGUGGGAUACCUUACGGCCAGCUACAUAUUUAGCAAGCUACGAAUUUCUAGGGCUGCCCUAGAAUCGUCAACUUUUAAUUGCCAAGAAAAGUCUUGGUUGAUACUCUGAAUUAGUUGGAUAGUCACAGAACAGAAACUGUACUAGCUGCUAUUAGCUAAUAAGCAGUCCCAUUA
rnacentral:lncRNA from 15 species